CACUAAUUCGUAACAAUAUUCCAUCCAUCCAUCCAUUUUCUACCGCUUGUCCCGUUCGGGGUCGCGGAGGGUGCUGUAGCCUAUCUCAGCUACAAUCGGGCGGAAGGUGCCGUACACCCUGGACAAGUCGCCACCUCAUCGCAGGGCCAACACAGAUUGACAACAUUCACACUCACAUUCACACACUAGGGCCAAUUUAGUGUUGCCAAUCAACCUAUCCCCAGGUGCAUGUCUUUGGAGGUGGGAGGAAGCCGGAGUACCCGGAGAGAACCCACGCAGUCACGGGGAGAACAUGCAAACUCCACACAGAAAUUUCUUGAGCCCAGAAUUGAACCCAGGACCUUCGUAUUGUGAGGCACACGUACUAACCCCUGUACCACCGUGCUGCCUUAAUGCAUACCUGCCAACUACUCCGGUUUUCCCGUAAUUAGUACGGUUUUCAUCAACCUAUUCCGGGUUACGGUUGCAGUGAUAAAAAAUACGGUUUUUCAUUAAUUAAAAAAAAAUAUUUAAAAAAAAGUUUUAUUCACGAAAUCGCGUAACAACAAUGACAAUCGACACUGCUUCCCGUAACUUCCUAUCGAGCCAUUCCGAAUGCCAUGUGUAACACGGGUGGGAAAUAAGCCAUAUUUCCUCUCAUGACAUCUCAUAUUACCUGCGCCGUUUCCACGUUUAAUCUCGCGAGUUUAACACACACGCUCACGUGACCCGCUGCAGCCAAUCACGCUCUAUAAAAUCCAGCAUUCCGAGAUGGCUGCCAGGUGCGGUGGCUAAGCCUGGGAACAUAUGAAGCCGGUAUGUUUUAAAGUUGUCGUUUGCUUGCAUAUUGUAAAAACAACCGUCCAACAUUUACAACUAAUUGUAAACUUGUAGGUGCCGAACAUCAGGGACGUGUUGCGACGAGAGAGUGUGUCGAUGAUAAGAUAUUAAGCCGAGUUGGCCAGGUCCCUAAGUCUUGGAUGGCGAGCUGUAGAUAGGCCUCGAGCCUGAGCCCAAGGAUCUCCACCUCUCAACCCCUGAACUCCACCUGCUCUGGUCGGGCCGGUAGGCGGCUUAUAGCCGAACCCCUUGCCUCGCACCUCAUUGCUCUGCGGCCCUUUGCACUACCUCAUACACACCCUGCCCAUAAACUGAACUCUCACUACAAACUGCCAUACCCACAACCCCAAACCGUGUGGCUGUAUGAACUCUGAAUGCGCAUAUGGACUGCGAUCAGUCUCAUAUGACCUUUUAAGAACUUUUGAUACUACCUGUUAUGAAUUACCUGAACCCUUGCUGUUUUUUUCUUUUGUUUUGAAUGGCCAUUCCUAUCAAUGUAUGUCCACUAUUUGUUGCACUGUACAUAUUUAAAUAACACCAGUAUAAUUUAAAGCA